ACGGGAGGCAGCAGUGGGGAAUAUUGGACGAUGGGGGAAACCCUGAUCCAGCGACGCCGCGUGAGUGAAGAAGUAUUUCGGUAUGUAAAGCUCUAUCAGCAAGGAAGAAAAUGACGGUACUUGACUAAGAAGCUCCGGCUAAAUACGUGCCAGCAGCCGCGGUAAUACGUAUGGAGCAAGCGUUAUCCGGAUUUACUGGGUGUAAAGGGAGUGUGGACGGCGAAGCAAGUCUGAAGUGAAAUGCCGGGGCUUAACCCCGGAACUGCUUUGGAAACUGUUUUGCUAGAGUGCAGGAGAGGUAAGCGGAAUUCCUAGUGUAGCGGUGAAAUGCGUAGAUAUUAGGAGGAACACCAGUGGCGAAGGCGGCUUACUGGACUGUAACUGACGUUGAGGCUCGAAAGCGUGGGGAGCAAACAGGAUUAGAUACCCUGGUA
rnacentral:rRNA from 1 species